UUAAAGGUCAGAUGGUAAAGAUAGCCUUUGUUAGUAAAAACAACCAAAGAAUAAAGAGGAAAACCAGAAUACUGUGGAAUCAUGUCUAAGAGAAGAGAGUUUUAAGAAAGAGUAGCCAACAGUGUCAGGUGCCACUGAGAGGACAAACAGCCGAGACUAACAAAGGUUCUGGGAAAGUGGAGGAGAUGGAAUUCAGAGCAUAGGUAGAAGAAUCUACCUUAGGAAGAGGAACCCCAUCCUGCUGAAAAAGGAAAGAAAGAGAAGAUGGACACUAACACAGGUAGCUCAAUUCUCAGUUGAUGGCUUCAACCUUGUUCUGUGAAACAGAGUGAAGACUGAACAGAAUGAACUCAGGCGUUAGAAUGUGGGGUUUAAACAGAGUCAAGAAUUUAGGUGGAGGCUGGGCGCGGUGGCUCACACCUGUAAUCCCAGGCCUUUGGGAGGCCGAUGCAGGCAGAUCAACUUGAGGUCAGGAGUUCAAGACCAGCCUGGCCAACAUGGUGAAACUCUGUCUCUGCUAAAAAUUAGCCAGGCAUGGUGGUGUGUGCCUGUGAUCCCAGCCACACAGGAGGCUGAAGCAGGAGAAUCGCUUGAACCCGGGAGGCAGAGGUUGCAGUGAGCCAAGAUCGCACUACUGUACUCCAGCCUGGGCGACAGAGCAAGACACUCCAUCUCAAAAAAAAAAAAAAAAAAAAAAAAAAAUUAGGUGGAAAAGAAGUCUGGAUACCAGGUGCCCUAUUAUCUCAAUACAUGAGGUGGAAUGGCUGAAGAGACAAAAAUCAGUCUUAAGGAGAAUAGGGAAAUAGAGCCAGAUUGCAUGAGUCUCAAGGAAGUCCACAUUUUUAUAAGAAGUUGGGGGCAGUAACAGUCUGGAAGUGGCAACAAGAAGGAUGGCACCGAAAUGACCUCCAACCCUGAGGGAUUAGGGUUUGAGAAAAUACAUAGCUACAACUAGAGAGCAUUUUGAAUUCAGAAGAGACUUCAGGGAGAAGCUGCCAACCUAUGGACUUCAGAACCUCAAGAAGCUGUAAAAUUAAUCAUCAGAGGAGAUUUGCAAAUCUAUACUGAUAUCAAGCACUGUUUUAGGCUGAACAAAAUAAUGUCUCAUGCCUAAAUACUGUUAAUUUUGAAAUAUAUGUAAAUACUUUCAUGACUAAUUUUUAAAGGGUGCUAAAAUGGAAUCUUCAUAUUGAAAAAGAUUAGGAACACACUGUCUAUGGAUUGCCCUGUUCACUCUGCCAGUCUACACACUCAUCACCUCUUCCAUUACAGUCCUGACAGAUUGUUAUCCAGCUGCAACCGUAUGAUGAAGUCACUUAUUCAUAUAAAUGGUUUGAACAUUUUCCAUAACACUAAGAACACCUCUUUGUAAGGAAACUUGUAUUUUUAGACAGCUUUCAUUUUGACAAAUGUACUUUCUUCCCCAGAACUUCUAACAUUCUAGAAUUACUCAGAAUUAGCUUCAUUCAUUUUGCACGACAGCCCCUGAAACACUUAAGACAGUUCACAUGUCCUUCCUAAGGCUUUUCUCUCACACUCUGUCCUUCAGUCAGGGAUGUGACACAAUUCCUCAUUCUACCACUCUCCUCGUGCCCCUUCAGUAUGUAUCCAUUUGUCUCUCUGAAAACUCUAAACACAGCACAGCACACUAGAUUUGAUCUGCCUGUGACAACGCACAGUAGAAUGAUUAUGUCCCCUGACCUAGACACUAUAUUUCUAUCAGUGUUACCUAAGUCAGGAUUUUUAAAGCCUUGUAGUCAGCUAAAAAAUUUAGGACUUAAGCCAGCUCUCUCCCAUCUUAUUUCAAUACAAGAGAGUUUUCUGUAGCCAACUGUCCAUUAAAUCUUACCUUGCCACUAUGGGAUCAUUUAUUCCAGCCUAUUAAGGUUUUUCAGAAUCUUGAUUUUUGUCCUCUAACAUAUUAGCUAUUUCUCCCAGUUUUACAUCAUUUGUAAAUUUGAGAAGGUUCAUUCUAUCGUACAGCUUAUUCAUUCUUGGCACUUAAAUAGAUGAUUUUUUCAUGUUUAAAUGUCAUGACUAAUGACAUCACAUUUGGAAAACACUAAUUUUUAUAUUUAGUAUAUCAUUACAUAAUUCAAGACAUUUUACC
rnacentral:lncRNA from 1 species